GAUGAACGCUGACAGAAUGCUUAACACAUGCAAGUCCACUUGAACUUCGGUUUGGGUGGCGGACGGGUGAGUAACGCGUAAAGAACUUGCCUCACAGAUAGGGACAACAUUUGGAAACGAAUGCUAAUACCUGAUAUUAUGAUUAUAUGGCAUCGUAUAAUUAUGAAAGCUAUAUGCGCUGUGAGAGAGCUUUGCGUCCCAUUAGCUAGUUGGAGAGGUAACAGCUCACCAAGGCGAUGAUGGGUAGCCGGCCUGAGAGGGUGAUCGGCCACAAGGGGACGGAGACACGGCCCUUACUCCUACGGGAGGCAGCAGUGGGGAAUAUUGGACAAUGGACCGAGAGUCUGAUCCAGCAAUUCUGUGUGCACGAUGAAGUUUUUCGGAAUGUAAAGUGCUUUCAGUUGGGAAGAAAAAAAUGACGGUACCAACAGAAGAAGUGACGGCUAAAUACGUG
rnacentral:rRNA from 1 species